GACGAACGCUGGCGGCGUGCCUAAUACAUGCAAGUCGAACGCAUUUUCUUUCACCGUAGCUUGCUACACCGAAAGAAAAUGAGUGGCGAACGGGUGAGUAACACGUGGGUAACCUGCCCAUCAGCGGGGGAUAACACUUGGAAACAGGUGCUAAUACCGCAUAAUUCCAUUUACCGCAUGGUAGAUGGGUGAAAGGCGCUUUUGCGUCACUGAUGGAUGGACCCGCGGUGCAUUAGCUAGUUGGUGGGGUAACGGCCUACCAAGGCUGCGAUGCAUAGCCGACCUGAGAGGGUGAUCGGCCACACUGGGACUGAGACACGGCCCAGACUCCUACGGGGGGCAGCAGUAGGGAAUCUUCGGCAAUGGACGCAAGUCUGACCGAGCAACGCCGCGUGAGUGAAGAAGGUUUUCGGAUCGUAAAACUCUGUUGUUAGAGAAGAACAAGGAUGAGAGUGGAAAGUUCAUCCCUUGACGGUAUCUAACCAGAAAGCCACGGCUAACUACGUG
rnacentral:rRNA from 1 species